rnacentral:lncRNA from 1 species
CUGUUUUGAGAGCUCCAGUAUUGUUCUUCUAUAGAAAUCCAAUAGGAAGGAUUUUAAAUCGCUUCUCGAAAGACAUUGAGCAUAUGGAUGACUUGCUGCCCCUGAUAUUUCAAGAUUUCAUCCAGCACUC